GCUUGUCUCAAAGAUUAAGCCAUGCAUGUCUUAGUGUAAAUAACUCUUAUGAAACUGCGAAUGGCUCAUUAAAUCAGUUAUCAAAUACGUGAUGGUCGCCUACUACAUGGAUAACCGUAGUAAUUCUAGAGCUAAUACAUGCACAAAGGCCCACUCACGUGGGUUGUGAUUAUUAGAUUCAAACCGGCCUCGUUCUGGUGAUUCAUAAUAACUUUUCGGAUCGCAUGGCGCAAGCCGGCGACGUUUCAUUCAAAUUUCUGCCCUAUCAACUUUCGAUGGUAAGGUAUUGGCUUACCAUGGUUACAACGGGUAACGGAGAAUUAGGGUUCGAUUCCGGAGAGGGAGCCUGAGAAACGGCUACCACUUCCAAGGAAGGCAGCAGG
rnacentral:rRNA from 1 species